rnacentral:rRNA from 1 species
AGAACGAACGCUGGCGGCAUGCCUAAUACAUGCAAGUCGAACGAACACUUCGGUGUUAGUGGCGCACGGGUGCGUAACGCGUGGGAAUCUGCCCUUGGGUCGAUAACAGUUGGAACGACUGCUAAUACCGGAUGAUGACGAAAGUCCAAAGAUUUAUCGCCCAGGGAUGAGCCCGCGUAGGAUUAGCUAGUUGGUGAGGUAAAGGCGCACCAAGGCGACGAUCCUUAGCUGGUCUGAGAGGAUGAUCAGCCACACUGGGACUGAGACACGGCCCAGACUCCUACGGGAGGCAGCAGUAGGGAAUAUGGACAAUGGGCGCAAGCCUGAUCCAGCAAUGCCGCGUGAGUGAUGAAGGCCUUAGGGUUGUAAAGCUCUUCUACCCGAGAUGAUAAUGACAGGUAUCGGAGAAUAAGCCCCGGCUAACUCCGUGCCAGCAGCCGCGU